rnacentral:lncRNA from 1 species
GCAAAUAGAUCCUAAUAAUCUCUACCACUAUGAUACACCGGCUUUGAAUUUGGAUUUACAACCGACAUCUUCUGCUUUUACACCCAAAGAAACAGCAGCUCAAUAUCCAUACUUGAUUUUACAACCUUUGCAUAUCUCUACACUCCGUCAAUCACACUGGUAGGAACCGCUAGGGUUCUACCGGGUCUAGGGCGGACGUUGUAGGGGAUGAAGCGGAGUUGGCGAGGGCUGUCUCGCGCCGGCCGGCGGUGGGCGCCGUUGCGCGAGAGGGAGGCGGUGGCGGCGACGCAGCUAGGGUUCCAGCUCCUCUGAAAGCCGGGCAAUAGAGUUAUG